AACUGGUUGGGAGCUAUUGCUGUUUCCCUGAUGAGCCCAUGGCAGGGCGAAACCAGAU
rnacentral:hammerhead_ribozyme from 10 species